rnacentral:rRNA from 1 species
AUGGCGAGGAUUGCGGAGGUGAUGUUGCUGCUCAUGUUCUUGAUGCUGAUCUUCAGCGUCCACCUCGCUUCGGCUGCGAGGCUGUUGGAGGGUGAAGGAUGGAGGGAGGGCGGGAUCGGGACGGUGACACGGUAG